rnacentral:rRNA from 1 species
AUUGAACGCUGGCGGCAGGCCUAACACAUGCAAGUCGAGCGGAUGAAGGGAGCUUGCUCCUGGAUUCAGCGGCGGACGGGUGAGUAAUGCCUAGGAAUCUGCCUGGUAGCGGGGGAUAACGUCCGGAAACGGGCGCUAAUACCGCAUACGUCCUGAGGGAGAAAGUGGGGGAUCUUCGGACCUCACGCUAUCAGAUGAGCCUAGGUCGGAUUAGCUAGUUGGUGGGGUAAAGGCCUACCAAGGCGACGAUCCGUAACUGGUCUGAGAGGAUGAUCAGUCACACUGGAACUGAGACACGGUCCAGACUCCUACGGGAGGCAGCAGUGGGGAAUAUUGGACAAUGGGCGAAAGCCUGACCCAGCCAUGCCGCGUGUGUGAAGAAGGUCUUCGGAUUGUAAAGCACUUUAAGUUGGGAGGAAGGGCAGUAAGUUAAUACCUUGCUGUUUUGACGUUACCAACAGAAUAAGCACCGGCUAACUUCGUG